ACAAGCGGUGAGUGCUUUGGGGUGGGGUGACUGCGUACCUUUUGUAUAAUGGGUCAGCGACUUAUAUUCUGUAGCAAGGUUAACCGUAUAGGGGAGCCGAAGGGAAACCGAGUCUUAACUGGGCGUUAAGUUGCAGGGUAUAGACCCGAAACCCGGUGAUCUAGCCAUGGGCAGGUUGAAGGUUGGGUAACACUAACUGGAGGACCGAACCGACUAAUGUUGAAAAAUUAGCGGAUGACUUGUGGCUGGGGGUGAAAGGCCAAUCAAACCGGGAGAUAGCUGGUUCUCCCCGAAAGCUAUUUAGGUAGCGCCUCGUGAACUCAUCUUCGGGGGUAGAGCACUGUUUCGGCUAGGGGGUCAUCCCGACUUACCAACCCGAUGCAAACUGCGAAUACCGAAGAAUGUUAUCACGGGAGACACACGGCGGGUGCUAACGUCCGUCGUGAAGAGGGAAACAACCCAGACCGCCAGCUAAGGUCCCAAAGUCACAGUUAAGUGGGAAACGAUGUGGGAAGGCUCAGACAGCCAGGAUGUUGGCUUAGAAGCAGCCAUCAUUUAAAGAAAGCGUAAUAGCUCACUGGUCGAGUCGGCCUGCGCGGAAGAUGUAACGGGGCUAAACUGUGCACCGAAGCUGCGGCAGCGACGCUUAUGCGUUGUUGGGUAGGGGAGCGUUCUGUAAGCCUGCGAAGGUGUCCUGUGAGGGAUGCUGGAGGUAUCAGAAGUGCGAAUGCUGACAUAAGUAACGAUAAUGCGGGUGAAAAGCCCGCUCGCCGGAAGACCAAGGGUUCCUGUCCAACGUUAAUCGGGGCAGGGUGAGUCGACCCCUAAGGCGAGGCCGAAAGGCGUAGUCGAUGGGAAACGGGUUAAUAUUCCCGUACUUGGUGUUACUGCGAAGGGGGGACGGAGAAGGCUAUGUUGGCCGGGCGACGGUUGUCCCGGUUUAAGCGUGUAGGCUGGUUUUCCAGGCAAAUCCG
rnacentral:rRNA from 1 species